GACGAACGCUGGCGGCGUGCCUAAUACAUGCAAGUAGAACGCUGAAGAGAGGAGCUUGCUCUUCUUGGAUGAGUUGCGAACGGGUGAGUAACGCGUAGGUAACCUGCCUUGUAGCGGGGGAUAACUAUUGGAAACGAUAGCUAAUACCGCAUAACAAUGGAUGACACAUGUCAUUUAUUUGAAAGGGGCAAUUGCUCCACUACAAGAUGGACCUGCGUUGUAUUAGCUAGUAGGUGAGGUAAUGGCUCACCUAGGCGACGAUACAUAGCCGACCGGAGAGGGUGAUCGGCCACACUGGGACUGAGACACGGCCCAGACUCCUACGGGAGGCAGCAGUAGGGAAUCUUCGGCAAUGGGGGCAACCCUGACCGAGCAACGCCGCGUGAGUGAAGAAGGUUUUCGGAUCGUAAAGCUCUGUUGUAAGUCAAGAACGGGUGUGAGAGUGGAAAGUUCACACUGUGACGGUAGCUUACCAGAAAGGGACGGCUAACUACGU
rnacentral:rRNA from 1 species